rnacentral:lncRNA from 1 species
CUCUAACCCUAACUUUCUUUUCCCUCAGCCGACUUCAGCCAAAUCGUUUGGCUCUCGACUCCACCGUCUCCCAACCGCAGGUGCCUUUGCCUUUUGAAAACAAUUUUCAGCCUCGAGAUUUCUCCUUCACCUUCGAUUUCGACGAAGCAAAGAGGAUUCAACGGCAUAUUCGCGAGGUAAACUUCUCUUUUGCUUUCUUUUUAUGUUUUUUAUGAUAGAUUUCAAAAUAAAAAAAGAAAAUAGAGGCGUAAAAAAAUAAAAAAGGAACAACCUUUUAAGAAUAUUCAACUUCUCUGUAUUUGAUCGCUUUGUAUUGAAUUCGUGUAAGGUGCCUAUUGCAUUCGUAUUUCGUCCCUUUUACAAAGACUAAAAUUCUGGCUUUAUAGCCUAAAAUGGUAGAAAUAUAAAUAAAAAUACAAAAUUCUUUCUUUUUUUCAUUGGGUAUGUGCUGUUGUUGUUUUCUUGUGUUUGUUUGCAGGUACGGGGCGACGUGGAGGCAUGAGGGUGGCGUACAGAGGCGUGCAGGGGUGGUACGGAGCGUACGGUGCAGAAGAUGAGGACGAGGGCUACUGCGAGGCUGUUGAGGCACAAGAGGGUGACCUAUGGUUCCCGAAAGUAUUUUGAUUUUGGGCCACUUGGGCCUUGUUCUUGUAGUUGGGCUAUCGUGUUUGGGCUUCUGGGUUCAUUGGGCUUGGUGUAUUAGUUUUGGACUGUAAAAACUGGACUGUAAUAAAUUUUUUAUUAUUAUUGUAAUGAUUUUUGGGUUUUUGUUUGCACGGGCCCGGGCUAAAUUGGCCCAUUACAAUGUUUAUGUUCAAACUUUUAUAACUGUAAAGUUAUUUUAAU